rnacentral:rRNA from 1 species
GGCGAACGCUGGCGGCAGGCUUAACACAUGCAAGUCGAGCGGGCACUUUCGGGUGUCAGCGGCGGACGGGUGAGUAACGCGUGGGAACGUGCCCUCUGGUUCGGAAUAACUCAGGGAAACUUGAGCUAAUACCGGAUACGCCCUUUUGGGGAAAGGCUUGCUGCCGGAGGAUCGGCCCGCGUCUGAUUAGCUAGUUGGUGAGGUAACGGCUCACCAAGGCGACGAUCAGUAGCUGGUCUGAGAGGAUGAUCAGCCACACUGGGACUGAGACACGGCCCAGACUCCUACGGGAGGCAGCAGUGGGGAAUAUUGGACAAUGGGCGCAAGCCUGAUCCAGCCAUGCCGCGUGAGUGAUGAAGGCCUUAGGGUUGUAAAGCUCUUUUAUCCGGGACGAUAAUGACGGUACCGGAGGAAUAAGCCCCGGCUAACUUCGUG